UUUUUAACAAGGUUACCCCUGGGAAAGUUGCAAAGAACUUUGAAGAGAGAGUUCAAGAGAACGUGAAACCGCUGAAACGGAAGCGUAUGGUGUUGACUCAAGUAGGCGCAAGAUUAUUUUUGAUACUCUUGAUGCUGAAAGCGCCGAGAGCUCGCUUAGCGCGCAAUGAAACACCUCUCCCUUCGGGGGCAUUUGCGAAGGUCUUCUUUGCUUAGGAGGUGGAGUAAGAGCGUCGCGGCUUCUUGCAUCUCGGUGUAAAGGUCGACGGCCCAUCCGUCCCGUCUUGAAACACGGACCAAGAAGUCUAGCACAUGCGCGAGUCAAUGGGUGUUAAACCUAGAGGCGUAGCGAAAUCAAAGCAUAUGGGAUCCGUUGCCGUUCGCGGUGGCGGCGCACCAUAGCCCCUUGUGCUUUUGCGCAAGGAGGAAGAGCGUAUGUGCUAGGACCCGAAAGAUGGUGAACUAUGCGUGUACAGGGUGAAGCCGUGAGUGCCGGUGGAAGCUCGAAGUGAUUUUGACGUGCAAAUCGAUCGUCUGAUGUGCGUGUAGGGGCGAAAGACUAAUCGAACCAUCUAGUAGCUGUUCCCCUUCCGAAAA
rnacentral:rRNA from 1 species